AGGGAUGUGCUGUGAGCUGCAAUUUUUCCAGCUGCAGGGCAGGGAGCCAGGAUGGGCAACUGGAAAGAGCAGGGGUGCUGGGAGCUGGUUCUGGGGACGGGUUUCAGCUAGGCAGCCACGGAUUCCCCGGAGCAGAACUGAAGCUAGACGGGGUCAGAUUGAGGUCAAGGACCUUCUGAGUUGGGGGUUCAUGGAGAGACCAAGGGACCUUAGGUCUUGUGGGACUGGGCCUCUGAGGGCCCCUAUCCACCUGAAAUUGAGAGGAGGCAGGGGAAUGGGUCCAGCAACUCCUCCUCAACUCUCCCCUACCCCGUGGGACCUGCUGCAUGUCCUCCCUGCUCUGACCCAAGUGGACCGAGGGGGAGGGGUGUCCCAUCACCUGCUCCUGACCACUGUUACAUAACCUGAAAAAUGGGCCCAACCAGGGCCUUCGGGUGUGUUGAUGUGCUAAUGAGACAUUAAGGAGCAAUUAGGUGCGGCUGUUCUGCCUCCCCGGUGACUCACCGGAGGCUGACGCAGCACUCAGGUCAACCUGGGAGCCCUUUCCCUGCCGCUCCGACAGCGACAGCGCCCGCCGCGCCUUCCCGUGCCCCUCAGUCCACAACAUCAAAGGUGCCUACUGGGUGGGGGCACUGUUCUGGGGAGGCGGCAACAAACAAGCCCAACAAAAGUCCCUGCCACUGAGGAAUUAAAAUUCUGCUGGAAGGAGACAAGAAACAAACAAAUCAGGAAAAUGUCUAUCCAUCACCCAAGAGCUUCCGGAACCUGUGACUGACCCAGAACUCUGGCUGGAGGGAGUCGAGCUGUGCAUCCAGGGAGGAGGGACACGGUCCGGUGCUGCCCUGGCUGCAGCAGGUGUCCACCUCAGAUUCUACCCCCCUCCCUGCAGGGUCGACACUGUCCCAUCAGUGGGUCCUGGGCACCACCACAUUUGUACUGGGAGCCCAUCUAAGCAAAGGGUCUGUGCUGGGUUGCUCCAGGCAAACGUCUGCCCCGUCACCUUCUGUCCCCUGGGCAUCUGCCCCCAGCCACCCACACCCCACCUCACCUGGGCAGUCAGGGGGGCUCUGGACCCAGACCAUCUGGUUCCCGGUCUGGCCCUACCACUUCCUUGGAUGCUGGAUGACCUUGGACAAGUUAUGUUAUUUAACAUCUCUGAGCUUCGAGUUCCUCCUUUUUUUUUAAUCUUCACCCAACUGGGGAUUGAACCCACCACCUAGGCAUGUGCCCUGACUGGGAAUUGAACACACCACCAUUUGGUUUACAGGACAAUGCUCCAAACAGCUGAGCCACAUCAGCUAGGACCAGGUUCCUCAUCUUAAUUUGCUAACAAUAGAACCUAUUUUACAGAGUUAUGGUGAGGAUGAAGUGCAAUUGGAGAGCUUUUGGAGAAGGAGGGAGCAAGUACUGAAUAAAUAUUAGCUGUUAUUAUUA